UAAGCGGAGGAAAAGAAAAUAACCAGGAUUCCCCUAGUAACGGCGAGUGAAGCGGGAAUAGCUCAAAUUUUAAAUCUGGCCGGCGUGGUCGGUCCGAGUUGUAAUUUGAAGAGUGGUUUUCACGUUUUCGUUCGGGUCCAAGUUCCUUGGAAUGGGACAUCAGAGAGGGUGAGAAUCCCGUCUUUGAUCCGAUCGGUAACGGUAUGAUACCGCUUCUAAGAGUCGAGUUGUUUGGGAUUGCAGCUCAAAAUGGGUGGUAAAUUCCAUCUAAGGCUAAAUAUAGGCGAGAGACCGAUAGCGAACAAGUACCGUGAGGGAAAGAUGAAAAGAACUUUGAAAAGAGAGUUAAAUAGUACGUGAAAUUGUUGAUAGGGAAACGAUUGAAGUCAGUCAUGCCAGUGAGAAAUCAGCUUACAGGCUACUGUGAGUGCACUUUUUCGCAAAGGCAGGUUAACAUCGGUUUUCGUUGCGUCAUAAUGAUUGUAGGAAGGUGGCUCCUUCGGGAGUGUUAUAGACUACUUUAGAUGGCCUGACAUAGACUAAGGAUUGCAGCGAAUGCCUUAGGCUACAGUUCUUUCUCUGUAAGUCGUUAAUUGGUUGUCAGCUUGCUGACUUCUAGUUAAUUGGCAGACAGUAAGGUAGAAAUUGAUAAAUUCGCUAAGGAUGUUGACGUAAUGGGCUUUAAACGACCCGUCUUGAAACACGGACCAAGGNGUCUAACAUGUAUGCGANUGUU
rnacentral:rRNA from 1 species